UACGAAGGGUGCAAGCGUUAAUCGGAAUUACUGGGCGUAAAGCGUGCGUAGGCGGUUUGUUAAGUCUGUUGUGAAAUCCCCGGGCUCAACCUGGGAAUGGCAAUGGAUACUGGCAAGCUAGAGUGUGAUAGAGGAUGGUGGAAUUCCCGGUGUAGCGGUGAAAUGCGUAGAGAAUCGGGAGGAACAUCAGUGGGCGAAGGCGGCCAUCUGGAUCAACACUGACGCUGAGGCACGAAAGCGUGGGGGGCAAACAGGG
rnacentral:rRNA from 1 species